GAAAGGGUCUCCAACAGCGGACCUUUGUCCCCGAAUGCAAAUGAGCUUGUCCAAAACAGGGCGCAGACAAUGCGAGUCUGGUCCUCGCUGCCCACGGAGCCCCGACAGCGGUGUGGUUAACCGACGUUUCUUGCUUUCUUUCUCUCACACCCAAGACGGCCAGGCUGACAGCUGAGAAUUUUAAGCAACCAUUCUGGGAGGCGGUCAGCUGCAUGUGGAGGCAGGGACGUCGGUAUAAUGUAGCAGGAUGGGUGAGCUGAGCCACCCCGCGCUUGAGCAGGCCUGGACUUGACAGCACAUCUCCCCCACACUCCCCCGGUCCACGGCCUGGUGGCCCUCCAACAGCCUGGGACGGAAGCCGAGUCAACAGAGCUGCUGGGAGGCCUGUCAGCCCAGCCGCCUUGCCCUGCCCACCUCAGGCCCAGAAUGAACGGCACCAGGCACCAGCUCAUCAUGGACUGAACCCCCCCCCCCCC